UACGUAGGGUGCGAGCGUUGUCCGGAAUUAUUGGGCGUAAAGGGCUCGUAGGCGGUUUGUCACGUCGGGAGUGAAAACUCGGGGCUUAACCCCGAGCCUGCUUCCGAUACGGGCAGACUAGAGGUAUGCAGGGGAGAACGGAAUUCCUGGUGUAGCGGUGAAAUGCGCAGAUAUCAGGAGGAACACCGGUGGCGAAGGCGGUUCUCUGGGCAUUACCUGACGCUGAGGAGCGAAAGCGUGGGGAGCGAUCCGG
rnacentral:rRNA from 1 species